rnacentral:rRNA from 1 species
ACAUGCAAGUCGAACGCGAAAGGCCCCUUCGGGGGCCGAGUAGAGUGGCGUCCGGGUGAGUAACACGUGGGUAAUUUACCUUCGGGUGGGGAAUAACAGCCGGAAACGGCUGCUAAUACCGCAUAAUGCAGCGGCACCUAAUGGUGACAGUUGUUAAAGCGGGGGAUCGCAAGACCUCGCGCCUGAAGAGAAGCCCGCGGCGGAUUAGCUAGUUGGUGGGGUAAUGGCUCACCAAGGCAACGAUCCGUAGCCGGCCUGAGAGGGCGGUCGGCCACACUGACACUGACACACGGGUCAGACUCCUACGGGAGGCAGCAGUCGGGAAUUUUGGGCAAUGGGCGAAAGCCUGACCCAGCAACGCCGCGUGGAGGAUGAAGUUUUUCGGAAUGUAAACUCCGUAAGAAUGGGAAGAAUAAGAGGGCGCUAACACCGGCCUCGAUGACGGUACCAUUCGUAAGCUCCGGCUAACUCCGUGCCAGCAGCCGCGGUAAUACGGGGGGAGCAAGCGUUGUUCGGAUUUACUGGGCGUAAAGGGCGCGUAGGCGGCGCAACAAGUCACUUGUGAAAUCUCCGGGCUUAACUCGGAGCGGUCAAGUGAUACUGUCGUGCUAGAGUGCGGAAGGGGCAACUGGAAUUCUCGGUGUAGCGGUGAAAUGCGUAGAUAUCGAGAGGAACACCUGCGGCGAA